AUAUCUUAUGUAAUGAAAUCAAUAUUUGGUAAUCAACAAUGUAGUACUAUCGAGAUUAUUUUGUUGGGUUUCAAGUUUUGAAGUUAUAAUUCUGGCCAAUACGUUGUUCCGUAAGUAUGAGUGUUAGUCAGCAAUUAAAACUAUUUUUAGUAAACCUGUUUGGCCAGUCGCGGAGUGUAGUGAACUCGUGCAGUCCCGGGCCAGAUCUAGACAAGGAGUGACGUCCAAAAUUGUACCAAUGCAUUUGUUCAUAACUUUUGCCUUAGAAGCACAUAUACUGGGAAACUGGUAGCCUGACUGAAUUAGUGAACUACUGUGAGUGAACUACAUUGGUAGUUUCAUGUUUCUCGAUCCAGUUGUUAGAAUAUGUCCAGAAUUAGGAAUUUUGACGAAUGUAAGAAAGAAAAACUCCCCCAUGGAUACAGAAGAAAAGAUGCCCGGAUACGGCAAUGAAGAAACUGUACAAGAUACUUCAAACGUGGAGACAAUUUACAGAGGAAACACAGGAAAACCAUCAACAAAGGGAGGAACCAUUUAUACACAGAAAACAUCAGCACAUUGAGGAACCAUCAGCAUAUUGAGGAGCCAUAAGCACACAGAGGAACUACCGGCAUAUUGAGGACCCAUCAGCACAUUGAAAAACCAUCAGCACAUUGAGAAACCAUAAUUAUAUUGAGAAACCAUCAGCACAUUGAGGAGCCAUAAGCACAUGACAAACCAUCAGCUUAUCGAGGAACUAUGAGCACUGAGGAACCAUUAACAGAAGAAAAAUAAAACCCAGAGGAAUACCAGCACAUUGAGGAACUAUCAGCACAGAGGAACCAUUAGCACAGAGGAAUCAUUAGCAGAGAGGAACCAUCAGCAUAUUGAGGAACCAGCAGCACAGAGGAACCAUCAACACAGAGGAACCAUCAGCACUUAGAGGAACAGCAUAUUGAGGAACCAUUAGCACAGAGGAACCAUAAAACCCAGAGGAGUACCAGCAAAUUGAGGAACUAUCAGCACAGAGGAACCGUCAGCACUUAGAGGAACAGCACAUUGAGGAACCAUUAGCACAGAGGAGCCAUAAAACCAAAGGACCACCAGCAGAUUUAGAAAUCAUCAGCACAAAGGAACCAUCAGCAUAUUGAGAAAUCAUCAGCAUUUUGAGGAACUAUCAGCACUGAGGAACCAUUAGCAGAGAGAAACCAUAAAACCCAAGGGAAUACCAGCAUAUUGAGGAACAAUCAGCACAGAGGAACCAUUAGCAGAGAGGAGCCAUCAUCUUAUUGAGAAACCAUCAGCACACUGAGGAACCAUCAGCACACAGAGAAACCAUCAGCACACAGAAGAACUAUCAGCACACAGAGAAACCAUCAGCAUAUUGAGGAGCCUUCAGCACACAGAGGAACUACCAGCAUAUUGAGGAGCCUUCAGCACAUUUAAGAGCCAUCAUCACACAGAGGAACCACCACAAACAGAGGAGCCAUUACAAACAGAGGAAUUACCAGGACAUAGAAGAACCAUUAGCUUAAAAAGGAACCAAUAGCAAUUUAGCAUGGGUUGAAAUCAUCAGCAAAUUGAGGAACUGUUAGCACAGCAAGGAACCAUCAGCACAUUGAUGAGCCAUCAGCACACAAAAGAACUGCCAGCACACAAUGGAACCAUCAGCACACAGAAGAACCAAAAACACAGAAAGAAACUACCAACAUACAGAGGACCCAUCAGCAUGUAACCAAACACAGGGAAGCCCUUCGUCAGAAAACAUGGUAAUUGUCAGCUAAAAUCAUAAGUUCUUGAAGGGAACUGCUAAAUGCAAAGGUAAAACAGUAAAUAUUCAGCAUAAGAAAAGGUAUGUCAUUUUCCCUAAUGAUUGUAUUGAUUUGUCUUUUGAAUUCCUGCAUGCGUUUUUCAUCCUAAGAUUUAUUGUGUGCAGCUGUGUUUUGUUCUCUCUCUCUCACCCUCUCUGUGUUGUAUAAUAAUUAGUAAUUUUGUAAUUUGUGUUU